CCUCUCACCCCGCCACAUGCGCGGAGCCCGUUGGCCGCACGGAGAGCUGCCGUCACUUCCGCACACGGCGAGAGAAUGACGUGGCUAUGCGAUAUUUUCACACUGCUGCAGAAUCUUUUUGGAAGACAUCCAGCUUUCUCCUCGGCUUUCUGCUGGUGCUGCACACUGCCCUCCCCUGACAUCCGUUCCUUUGGCCAUCAACACUCCUCUGGUUCUCAGAAGGUCACAGGUGCAAUUCCAAGGGUUUCCAUCUAAAUAGAGGUGCCGGAGACGAGGUAAAUACUCUAAGACUUUGCGAUCCAAGGCAGAUAUCUUGUUGUUCCUUAAAUUUAAAACCUGAAGCUGUUUCAAGUCCUUCAGUUCUUGUUCUCCAACAUCUUCUAUGUCAUUUCCCUUUAGAUCCAAUCGAGCAAGGGUAUCUGGAAGUCUGAAUAAAAAUAAAACAACACAGAUCUGUUAUAUUCGUUAUACUGAUUCUCUUUGUGCCCAGGCAUAUCUAACAUAUU